CCUCCUUUUCUUGGCGGGGAUCGGGCGUGCGGUCCCGGUCCGCGUAAUGUACGGAGGUAGAGGGAAAGGGCUCCAGCCCCCUUGGCGUCAUGUCUUCGGUACCAGCAGGUUCUAUCCUCAAGCGCCGGGACACAG
ensembl:snoRNA